rnacentral:rRNA from 1 species
CCUACGGGAGGCAGCAGUAGGGAAUAUUGCUCAAUGGGCGAAACCCUGAAGCAGCAACGCAGCGUGGAGGAUGAAGGUCUUCGGAUUGUAAACUCCUUUUGUUAGAGAAGUUAAUGACGGUACGUAACGAAUAAUCACCGGCUAACUCCGUUCCAGCAGCCGCGGUAAUACGGAGGGUGCAAGCGUUACUCGGAAUCACUGGGCGUAAAGGGCGCGUAGGCGGGAUAGCAAGUCAGAUGUGAAAUCCUAUGGCUUAACCAUAGAACUGCAUUUGAAACUGUUAUUCUAGAGUAUGGGAGAGGUAGGUGGAAUUCGUGGUGUAGGGGUGAAAUGCGUAGAGAUCAAGAAGAAUACUCAUUGCGAAGGCGGCCUGCUAGAACGUAACUGACGCUGAUGCGCGAAAGCGUGGGGAGCAAACAGGAUUAGAUACCCUUGUAGUC